rnacentral:rRNA from 1 species
GACGAACGCUGGCGGCGUGCUUAACACAUGCAAGUCGAACGGAAAGGCCCUGCUUUUGUUGGGUGCUCGAGUGGCGAACGGGUGAGUAACACGUGAGUAACCUGUCCUUGACUUUGGGAUAACUUCAGGAAACUGGGGCUAAUACCGGAUAGGAGCUCCUGCUGCAUGGUGGGGGUUGGAAAGUUUCGGCGUUUGGGGAUGGACUCGCGGCUUAUCAGCUUGUUGGUGGGGUAGUGGCUUACCAAGGCUUUGACGGGUAGCCGGCCUGAGAGGGUGACCGGCCACAUUGGGCCUGGGAUACGGGCCAGACUCAUACGGGAGGCAGCAGUGGAGACUAUUGCACAAUGGGCGGAAGGCUGAUGCAGCAACGCCGCGUGCGGGAGGACGGCCUUCGGGUUGUAACCCGCUUUCGCCUGUGACGAAGAGUGAGUGACGGUAAUGGGUAAAGAAGCAACGGCUAACUACGUG